rnacentral:lncRNA from 1 species
CAAAAUGCCAUUUUGUCUUCAUCGUUUACGUACUGCAAUCUAGGAUGUGUGUCUUUUUUCCAUGUCUGAUACCUAAGAAGCUUCUUCUGCAUUCUUUCACACCAUCAAUGGUGUUUCGAGAUGGAUGACUGAAAUCAUGAUGAAGAAUCUUUUUGUUUCCUUUCUCCAUUCGCGUCGUUUAGCCAUCUACUCAAUCAAAACCGUUACAGAUUCAGCGCCAUUACGGCAUUCAAAGUGAUUUGUUGUCAUUAAGGUCUCAAUUAACUUCGUCUCCCCCACUC